rnacentral:rRNA from 1 species
UACGGAGGGUGCAGACGUUGCUCGGAAUCAUUGGGCGUAAAGCGCACGUAGGCGGCCUGUUAAGUCGGAUGUGAAAGCCCCGGGCUCAACCCGGGAAGUGCAUACGAAACUGGCAGGCUUGAAUAUGGAAGAGGGUCGCGGAAUUCCCGGUGUAGAGGUGAAAUUCGUAGAUAUCGGGAGGAACACCAGUGGCGAAGGCGGCGACCUGGGCCAAUAUUGACGCUGAGGUGCGAAAGCGUGGGGAGCAAACAGG